GCAGACAAAAUGGCAGUUGUUUGUUUAGUUUUAGUACAUUUGAUACAUAUUUCAUAAUUUGCAUGAUUUAAUGAUUUAAUCGCCUUAUUAUUAUAUAAAAAAUACGUUCAAGGAGAGAUAUAUUUGAUUUUAUUAGAAAUUCAUGAAUUAGAGUUUCAAGAUAACGUAAAUUUAGUAGUGGUGAGAGCUAAUGGAACUAAUGAAUAAUUGUGUUUAAUAUUUAUUCAAAUCAGAAAUGUAAACACCAAAGAGAGUGUUUGUUCUGCAAUAUAUUUAAACGCAAGCGUGUUAAUGAACUACAGUUAUCAUUUUAGUUUGUGUUUACAGUUCACAAUCUACCCUAACCUAAACUAAUUAAUUCAUUCAAGAGAAAUGAGUUUACCAACAGAUUUUGGCCCCGAUUCUGGAGGACGAAUGAAGGGUGUGUGUAUAGUAAAACCUAUUGUGUAUGGAAACAUAGCAAGGUACUUUGGAAAGAAAAGAGAGGAAGAUGGUCAUACACAUCAGUGGACUGUUUAUGUUAAACCAUAUUUUAAUGAAGACAUGUCUGCCUAUGUGAAAAAAGUUCAGUUUAAGUUACAUGAAAGUUAUGCAAAUCAAAAUCGAAUAGUUGUUAAGCCACCUUAUGAAAUAAGUGAAACAGGUUGGGGAGAAUUUGAAAUUGUCAUUAAAAUUCAUUUCCAUGAUCCAAAUGAACGACCAGUGACAAUGUAUCAUAUUUUGAAAUUAUUUCAUACUGGAAGUGGUAAUGACAUGACUCUUGAACAAAGUAAGGGAUUGGUUUCAGAAAGUUAUGAUGAAAUAGUUUUUCAAGAUCCAACGCAACUCAUGCAUCAUUUAUUGACAAAUACAAAACAAUUGACAUUAGGACCCUGGGAACAUAACACCAACUGUGACAGCUGAUAUCUAUGGCUGACAUCAAAGUGACCGCUCGAAAAAUAAAAAUCUUAAAGAUCUUAUCUAUGGUCAGAUACUACCCUGAUCCCAUAGAUUACAUGAUGCUAACAACAACAAUUAAGAACAGUAAAAAGAAGUUGGAGCAAAUGUGGAAUCUGUUAUUAUGGAGUAUUGGUCGUAGUAACUGACUUCAAUUCCACAAUAUAGCAGUUCCUGGCGAAAAUGUGAAAGUACUUUCUUUCCAUGAGAAAUAGGCAAAACCAUACCUGUUGUUGGCAACAUCUUAAUUGCACCAGGGGUUAACAUGAUCUUCAAAGUAACUGACUUGCUUUGGAUGCGAUGGACAAUCACAUAUUUUUAUUUCCAGGAACGUUUCUUGUGAACUGGUCAAAGACACAGGAUGCUAACAAUGGUUUCCAAUAAAACAUGAUAAAUAUAGAUGGAGACGGUAAUCAGAAGGGCUCGAAACGUAGAGAAGCAAAGCCCCUCUUAGCUUCUUUCUCCUUCUUGGAUUUGGAAAGAAGCCAUGUGUGGAAAUGGAUGUCAUUUAAAUUAUUAAAUGAUCAUGAAGACAAAAAUAAGAAGGAUUCGAAUUCUGGAGUUGGACUUGAAGUGUGCAACUUCUAGGAAAUGCAUGCAGUCCGACUUACACUGGUGAAUGUAGGGUUAAUUUCACCAUCAAUGAUAUUGUUAUGUUGUCAAUGCUUUGGAAUAAAGCUCGGUCAUCAUACAGGCAUUCUCUAGAUCUAACAAAUGGGAGAGAAUUAAAGUUGAGGUUGAUGGUACUGAAGCAAUCGAAAUCUACAA